rnacentral:rRNA from 1 species
UACGUAGGGGGCUAGCGUUGUCCGGAAUCAUUGGGCGUAAAGAGCGUGUAGGCGGCCCGGUAAGUCCGCUGUAAAAGUCAAAGGCUCAACCUUUGAAUGUCAGUGGAUACUGCCGGGCUAGAGUCCGGAAGAGGCGAGUGGAACUCCUGGUGUAGCGGUGAAAUGCGCAGAUAUCAGGAAGAACACCCGUGGCGAAGGCGGCUCUCUGGGGACGGUACUGACGCUGAGACGCGAAAAGCGUGGGGAGCGAACAGG